rnacentral:rRNA from 1 species
UACGGAGGAUGCAAGCGUUAUCCGGAAUGAUUGGGCGUAAAGCGUCCGCAGGUGGCUGUGUAAGUCUGCUGUUAAAGAGUGAGGCUCAACCUCAUAAAAGCAGUGGAAACUACACAGCUAGAGUGCGUUCGGGGCAGAGGGAAUUCCUGGUGUAGCGGUGAAAUGCGUAGAUAUCAGGAGGAACACCUGUGGUGUAGACGGCUUACUGGACCAUGACUGACGCUGAGGCACGAAAGCGUGGGGAGCAAACAGG